UUCUUUUCAAACACAAAAUGCUUUUAAGAGUAGUUCGUUGUAUUUCUAUCGUGAUAUCUUCUCUAAUUGAAUGCGCUUUUCUGGAUUUACCUUAUCCAGGAAUGUUCAAAGCCGAAUUCUUUAUCUCAUAAGCCAGCCUUAUAAAGUUAAAGGUACAUGUCGAAACAGAUGCUUGAAAUUGAGUGCCUUAAUAAAACGCGCAAAAGACUUCAAGAAGUUGUGUACGAGUUAUUUCCCUUUUCCCAGGUGUAAAGUGUUGAAAAGUCAAAUGUUUUUAAUUGAUACUAUUGCAAGAUGAAAGUUGGUUAAGAAUACAUGCACAAUUGUAAAAUGGAGUUAAUGCUUGAAAUGAAAGGUAUUAAUGUUCAUUCAUCAUAACAACGACAGACAUAAAUCUUCAUGGUCUAUCAUUCGUUUGAAUAGCCAGUCUCCGUCUACUAAUAUAUUAUCAUAUAGGUACUCUCUAGUAAAUGCAAUUUUAUUUCACAAACUACAAAAUUUUCACGAUUGAGUAAUUCCGUGGGUGGUGAACUAACACACUUCAGUUUUGUACAGUAGUGGAUAAAAGGUAAAUAAUUAUAUAAUAGCACAUAUGACAGUAAAUAAAUUAACUAAUAUAUUUGUAAAAAGUUAAAUCACAAAAAUACUGAACUCAGAGGAAAAUCAAAUCGGAAGUCCCUAAUCACAUGGCAAAAUCAAAUGACAAAACAC
rnacentral:lncRNA from 1 species